CAGGGUAGUCACGAGGUCUGGGUCACUGGCACUUCCUAGUCGUCCAUUAUGUUAUUUCAAAGUUGAGUGACGUCCUGCAACCAUAACAAACAGGACGUGUACGGAAAGAGAAAAGGCAAGAGGCUUGACACCCAGAGACCAAAGGACUCUUGUUCAAGAAGGUGACCCUUAAGCCAUUAGGUCUCAGCUGGCAACAAUCUGAAGACAUUGUGCAUUGUCUGGAGAAGUUUUGACCAUCUCCACUAGGGAGUAGGGUGCUCCCGGUCCCUGGUGAGCCAAGGGAAGGAUGCUGUGAACAGCUUCAGGCGUGAAGCAUUUUCCAGCUCAAAACAGUCAUCAUGCCAAGGUUGAGAAAGCCUGAUUUUUGGAGAAGAUAAGAAGGUGAGGAAAGCAGCACUCCAAGGGAUGAGGAAACAGUGGAGGUGAAAGGAACAGCACACUCUGCUUAGUGCCCUGGGGCCCCAAGACAAUGAGGCUGCCCUUGGCAACGGCAAACCCAAAUCAAAGACGGGAAGGAAAUGCAAGCUAAGGGACACUUGUUGACAAUGGACACUGUUGGUGGUCUACAAAGGACCUGCUAAAGAGGCGACCAUGGGAUUUUAAAGAUCAAGAGGGAGCGUGGGGGAAGGGUGGACUGAACCAAAAGCAAUGGAGGUAGAAAGCAAAAGGUGAACCCAGAUGCGUUCUGAGGGUGAUGGUUACAACACAGGAAUAAACAAGCAACAGGGACUGAAGGAUUGUGGAGGAGCUUGUCAAAGUUCAUCAUGACCUGGUAUGCUUGUUCCAUUCCCAGAUAAGUCAGGACCUUUGAACACUUGGAAGCCAUGGAAGUGCUGACCCGAAACGCAACGCCCCUGGCCCGGCGGGUGCCAAGCACCAGCUCUCUCCACACCACCAGCACCACACAGCAAAGUUCCUCUUUCCUUUUGCAGGCCUUGAACACUGAAGAAAUAAUGUUGCAAUGAGGAAAUCAAGACUCUAAUCCUGCUUUUCUCUAGUAGCCAUGGCUCCAGGCCAACAGCAGUUCAUAGAAGGGGGCAUUCUCACUGUGUCUCCAGAAGGAAGAUAAAACCUGGCAUGAAAUGGUUAGAGAUAAGACAUUUCAAAAUCUGGGAGCACAGCUGAAUACCAAAACUGUAUCAGAUCAUAAGCCAGAUGUUCCCAGAACUUUUCAUCCAUUUUUUCCUGCUUGAAGGAGAAGUUUUUGUUCAUAAAGAAAACAGUGAACCAAAAUUGCUAUCAGAAAGCAUCGAUUCAUGGUUCAUGGUUAUUUAAAAUGAGCCCAUUUGAAAAUAAUCAAAGAUAUGCAUGAUGAUUUAUAACAAGUGUUGUUCAUUUCAGUGGUAUUUAUCAUAUGUAUAAUGUAGAAACAUUCCCAGUGGAUUACCAUAAAGGAUUCGUUAUAUAAACAACAGUACUUUCAUUUGAUGGACUGCUAUGUGGCCAUUAAAAAUCACAUUGUUGAAGAA